ACACGACUACAUUAGAUACCCCGGUAGUCCUAGCCGUAAACGAUACUCGCUAGGUGUCGGCCACGGUGCGACCGUUGUCGGUGCCGUAGGGAAGCCGUGAAGCGAGCCACCUGGGAAGUACGGCCGCAAGGCUGAAACUUAAAGGAAUUGGCGGGGGAGCACCACAACGGGUGGAGCUUGCGGUUUAAUUGGAUUCAACGCCGGAAAUCUUACCGGGACCGACAGCAACAUGAAGGCCAAGCUGAAGACUUUGCCGGAUUAGCUG
rnacentral:rRNA from 1 species